GCAAAGCUGAUUCUUUAUUCCAUCUUUUAUCAGAUGUUAAGCACUGAAAAGCAGCUCAUUAGUUAGAAAUGCAACAUUUUAAUCACAGAACAUAAAUUCAGACACCUGUCUUGGUAAAUAUUCAACAUGUCGGAGCAUGAUGUUGUAUCCCCAACCAAUUUCCGGUGGCAGUGUAGCUCUCCGAGACAUUUGACCUCCAAAUAAGAUUAAUAAUAAGACAAUUUCCCCUUAGGGACUGACAAUGCUUUCAUGAUGCAACUUCCACACACAAAAUCGUUUUUUUUUUUUUUUUUUUCCCAACCCUAAUCUCAUGCCAAUGUACUGUUGAGAUGAAAUAGGAGCCCACGGUUGAGCAUUAACUCAGACUGUUCUGUGGUUUACAAUUUACGGCCCUUCUCUCUUUAUAGCAGUGGUUUUAUGUUGUUAUUGUUUACAGUGGGAGAACAGGCCACUGAGACUUCAUCUCUGCUCCAGCCGGCCAUUCAGCAAAAUUCCCGCUUUGACUCGUCCUCACACGUGAAACUUAAUACAAAAGAACAAAAUUACGAGCAGCAACUGUCUGCACUGGAUUCCACCUGUCGAUCUUAAUUUACAGACUCAACCAAAGCAAUGUCUUUCUCUGCAUCUUUUCUACAGCACAAACCUCAAGGUGUCAGUGUGAGUCUCGCGGCGGAGCCCACAGAUAACUCCCAACUAAGCAACUAAAGGGGGGAAAAAUCAAUCACAUUUAACAUGAACCAUAAAACGGAGGCUAGUUUUGAUCUUUUUUUACAAAUUAAGAAAGGGGCCAAUGGAGCCUUAUUAAGCAAAAAAUGAAGCUCUAUUAGCUUUAUUUUGUGACUGGAACGUUUAAUGGUCAUUAGAUUAAUUCAGAAAGGGAGCAGAUAAUUUACCAGGAUUCAUCCGCUUGGAUAUUUUUAUUAAAAAGAAAACGAGGCUACUCCCAAUGUCUCGUUCAUCCAGUUUGUAGAAGUAUGGAAAUAACUUAUAAACCACAUAAAUAUGCAAUAAUGUGUUCUGGUAACUUCUAGUAAAAUGUGAUUUUUUUUUUUUUGUGAUCACUGACAAUUGUCUUCUGUUUAGCCCCUGGAAGUUCUCUUUGUCACUGUUGUGGAGGCUAACGGCUAAUGAGUCCUCAAGACUGAGUCAGAUGUGACUGUAGACCCCCAGAGAGCGGUUACUAGAGACUGAGUUAAAAGAAAAGAAAAAGAAUGAAGAGAUCAUAAAGAGACUGAAAUUUACUCGAUGGAGCUAUCUGGAAACCUGCUUAUUUAAAUAAUUUGAAAAUGGUGAGAAUAGAAAAGUCCCUAUCUUACAACCUACAUUUUGAUGUUUUGCUUUGGUGAAUGUGUGUUAUUCUGUGAGAGUUGGGGCCAGAUACAUGGGGUGGAAUAUCAGUAACGUUAAGUCAUAUUUUUGAUCUUAAAGUAACAGUCAAAUUUUUUGUUGACUCUCUCAUUCGUGACAGAGGUCAGAAGAGAACAGGAUCUUGAGUCGGCUCAGGGAGAGAUACUCCUGCUGGGAUGAACAGUUACUGCACAGGUCGUCUUCUGAAUUCAUAAUUACUGCAGCUGCCACGAAUGUCAGAUAUUUACAUCUAAGGAGGCAACAUUGUGUUAUCCAGCUGAGAAGAACCGAUGGUCCCAACAAACAGGUUUAUUUUCAACAGUCUGUAAACUAGGU